AAUAAUAAUGAUAAAAACAAUAAAUAAUUGAUAACACAGGUUUGGUACUAUUCCAUGUAUUGCUUCAAAACAUUCUAUAGCAAAGGGUGAGGAGAUAUUUGUUCGAUAUGGAUAUGAGUUAAACUAUUGUCCGGACUGGUAUUUAGACGCAUGGGAGAAAGGAAAUUUCCCUGUACCAGACUCUAUGAAGAAUGAGUACAGUUGUAUUCCUGCCUGGGCCGAGUCAACUAUAGAAGAUAAGGAGUAAAGUGAAUCAAUGUGUGAAUACUUUUCAAGAAGAAUGUAAAAUGUUGUUGAAGAAUACAAAGUUAGUAAAUAAAUUAUUAAUGUAUGUA